CGGACGGGUGAGUAACGCGUGGGUAACCUACCCUGUACACACAGAUAACAUACCGAAAGGUAUGCUAAUACGGGAUAAUAUAUUUGAGAGGCAUCUCUCGAAUAUCAAAGGUGAGCCAGUACAGGAUGGACCCGCGUCUGAUUAGCUAGUUGGUAAGGUAACGGCUUACCAAGGCGACGAUCAGUAGCCGACCUGAGAGGGUGAUCGGCCACAUUGGAACUGAGACACGGUCCAA
rnacentral:rRNA from 1 species